rnacentral:rRNA from 1 species
UACGUAGGGACCGAGCGUUGUCCGGAAUCAUUGGGCGUAAAGAGCGUGUAGGCGGCCUUUUAAGUCCUGCGUGAAAUCCUGCGGCUCAACCGCAGACGGUCGUGGGAAACUGGAAGGCUAGAGUGCGGGAGAGGAGAGUGGAAUUCCCGGUGUAGCGGUGAAAUGCGCAGAUAUCGGGAGGAACACCAGCGGCGAAGGCGGCGCUCUGGGCCGGAACUGACGCUGAGGAGCGAAAGCGUGGGUAGCAAACAGG